UACGUAGGGUGCGAGCGUUAAUCGGAAUUACUGGGCGUAAAGCGUGCGCAGGCGGUUUUUUAAGACAGGCGUGAAAUCCCCGGGCUUAACCUGGGAACUGCGCUUGUGACUGGAAGGCUAGAGUACGGCAGAGGGGGGUGGAAUUCCACGUGUAGCAGUGAAAUGCGUAGAGAUCAGGAGGAACACCCGUGGCGAAGGCGGCUCCCUGGUCCGUCCCUGACGCUGAGACGCGAAAGCGCGGGGAGCGAACGGG
rnacentral:rRNA from 1 species